rnacentral:rRNA from 1 species
GCAUCCGUAGCCUGAUCUGUAAGUUUUCGGUUAAAUCUAUGCGCUCAACGUAUAGGCUGCCGGAAAUACUGCAGAUCUAGGGAGUGGGAGAGGUAGACGGUACUCGGUAGGAAGGGGUAAAAUCCUUUGAUCUAUUGAUGACCACCUGUGGCGAAGGCGGUCUACCAGAACACGUCCGACGGUGAGGGAUGAAAGCUGGGGGAGCAAACCGGAUUAGAUACCCGGGUAGUCCCAGCUGUAAACUAUGCAAACUCAGUGAUGCAUUGGCUUGUGGCCAAUGCAGUGCUGCAGGGAAGCCGUUAAGUUUGCCGCCUGGGAAGUACGUACGCAAGUAUGAAACUUAAAGGAAUU